rnacentral:rRNA from 1 species
UACGUAGGGGGCGAGCGUUGUCCGGAUUUAUUGGGCGUAAAGAGCUCGUAGGCGGUUUGGUAAGUUGGAUGUGAAAUCUCCAGGCUCAACUUGGAGGGGUCAUUCGAUACUGCCAUGACUAGAGUUCGGUAGGGGAGUGUGGAAUUCCUGGUGGAGCGGUGAAAUGCGCAGAUAUCAGGAGGAACACCAACGGCGAAGGCAGCUAGCUGGACGAGAUCAGACGCUCAGGCUCGAAAGUAUGGGGAGCAAAAAGG